UGAUGAGCUGUUAUUAUUUGAAUUAAUUGAUUAAAAAUUGGUUAACAAAAGGUGUUUAAUAGGAUAUUUGUUUUACAAAAUUCAAACUGGGUGAAGAUAGAACUAUGGCACUUGAGUUUUGGGUAAAACAUCUUUAAUAAAAUAUUUUUUAUAUCUUAAAAGCAAAAUGUAUAUAUUUUUUGUAGUUUU